AUUGAACGCUGGCGGCAAGCCUAACACAUGCAAGUCGAACGAGUGGCGGACGGGUGAGUAAUGUCUGGGAAAAUGCCUGAUUGAGGGGGAUCACUACUGGAAACGGUAGCUAAUACCGCAUACCAUCGGAUGUUCCCAGAUGGGAUUAGCUAGUAGGUGGGGUAAAGGCUCACCUAGGCGACGAUCCCUAGCUGGUCUGAUAGGAUGACCAGCAAACCUGGAACUGGGACACGGUCCAGACUCCUACGGGAGGCAGCAGUGGGGAAUAUUGCACAAUGGGCGCAAGCCUGAUGCAGCCAGGCCGCGUGUAUGAAGAAGGCCUUCGGGUUGUAAAGUACUUUCAGCGGGGAGGCGUUACCCGCAGAAGAAGCACCGGCUAACUCCGUGCCAGCAGCCGCGGUAAUAC
rnacentral:rRNA from 1 species